ACGGGGUGCAGCAGGCGCGAAACCUUUGCAAUGUGCGCAAGCACGACAAGGUUAAUCCGAGUGUUUCCUGCUAAAGGAAUCUUUUGUUAGUCGUAAAACCACUGAUGAAUAAGGGGUGGGCAAGUUCUGGUGUCAGCCGCCGCGGUAAAACCAGCACCUCAAGUGGUCAGGAGGAUUAUUGGGCCUAAAGCAUCCGUAGCCGGCUCUGCAAGUUUUCGGUUAAAUCCAUUUGCUUAACAAAUGGGCUGCCGAAAAUACUACAUAGCUAGGGAGUGGGAGAGGUAGACGGUAUUUGGUAGGAAGGGGUAAAAUCCUUUGAUCUAUUGAGGACCACCUAUGGCGAAGGCGGUCUACCAGAACACGUUCGACGGUGAGGGAUGAAAGCUGGGGGAGCAAACCGGAUUAGAUACCCGGGUAGUCCCAGCUGUAAACGAUGCAGACUCGGUGAUGCACUGGCUUGUAGCCAGUGCAGUGCCGCAGGGAAGCCGUUAAGUUUGCCGCCUGGGAAGUACGUACGCAAGUAUGAAACUUAAAGGAAUUGGCGGGGGAGCAC
rnacentral:rRNA from 2 species